ensembl:lncRNA
GAACGUAGUGGCUCUGAGUGGAGGAGAUGAAAAUGCAAAUAAUCACAACAUCCAACUGGAGAGUGAUUUCAGCAGAGGCACAGAAGCUGUUAAAGUCACCAGACCUGCUCCCAGCAGAGUCAUGAACAGGAACCAGAGGGAUGACCCAGGAGCCACGCACCAGACCAAGAAAAUAAACACCAACAGAGUGGACGGUGGACCAGCUGCCAGUGAUCAAAACGCUGAAGAUCAGCAGGACUCUACAAAACAACCACUGCUCUCAGAUCAGCGAGCUGCUGGCGAGGGCUUUGGCGUGGCGGGCGAAGCUGAUGUUUUGGUGGACAAGCCUGGCUUCGACCCGGACCAAGUCAAAGGGCACUCGAGCACGCGAGUAUGUAGUAACAUGUUUAUAACCUUUGAUGCGCUGUUAAAAUGUUUUCUUUGGGACCAAAUUUGA